UACGUAGGGGGCGAGCGUUGUUCGGAUUUACUGGGCGUAAAGGGCGCGUAGGCGGCCACCGCAAGUCGACUGUGAAAUCUCCGGGCUUAACCCGGAACGGUCAGCCGAUACUGCGGGGCUAGAGUGCAGAAGGGGCAACUGGAAUUCUCGGUGUAGCGGUGAAAUGCGUAGAUAUCGAGAGGAACACCUGCGGCGAAGGCGGGUUGCUGGGCUGACACUGACACUGAGGCGCGAAAGCUAGGGGAGCGAACGGGAUUAGAUACCCCUGUAGU
rnacentral:rRNA from 1 species